rnacentral:rRNA from 1 species
CCUACGGGUGGCAGCAGUGAGGAAUAUUGGUCAAUGGACGAGAGUCUGAACCAGCCAAGUAGCGUGAAGGAUGACUGCCCUAUGGGUUGUACACUUCUUUUAUAUGGGAAUAAAAUGUUCCACGUGUGGGAUUUUGUAUGUACCAUAUGAAUACGGAUCGGCUAACUCCGGGCCGGCAGCCGCGGUAAUACGGAGGAGCCGAGCGUUUUCCGGAUUUAUUGGGUUUAAAGGGAGCGUAGGUGGAUUGUGAAGGCAGUUGUGAAAGGUUGCGGCUCAACCGUAAAAUUGCAGUUGAAACUGGCAGUCUAGAGUACAGUAGAGGUGGGCGGAAUUCGUGGUGUAGCGGUGAAAUGCUUAGAUAUCACGAAGAACUCCGAUUGCGAAGGCAGCUCACUGGACUGCAACUGACACUGAGGCUCGAAAGUGUGGGUAUCAAACAGGAUUAGAUUCCCUUGUAGUC